AUUGAACGCUGGCGGCAGGCCUAAUACAUGCAAGUCGAACGAGUGGCGGACGGGUGAGUAAUGUCUGGGAAACUGCCUGAUGGAGGGGGCAAACUACUGGAAACGGUAGCUAAUACUGCAUACCAUCAGAUGUGCUCAGAUGGGAUUAGCUAGUGGGUGGGGUAACGGCUCACCAAGGCGACGAUCCCUAGCUGGUCUGAGAGGAUGACCAGCCACACUGGGACUGAGACACGGCCCAGACUCCUACGGGAGGCAGCAGUAGGGAAUAUUGGGCAAUGGGCGCAAGCCUGAUGCAGCCAUGCCGCGUGUAUGAAGAAGGCCUUCGGGUUGUAAAGUACUUUCAGCAGGGAGGCGUUACCCACCGAAGAAGCACCGGCUAACUCCGUGCCAGCAGCCGCGGUAAUUC
rnacentral:rRNA from 1 species